UCAUUGAUGCUGUUGUCGAGUGUCAGCUGAAACUGAGACGUCAGCGAUGUAUGUUCACGAAAGAAAGAGCUCUAGCCUCAGUACAACCUCUGAAACGACAGCUAACAACUUGCCACAAGCCACAGGACAGGAGCCACAUUUCCAUGAUCGACUGCCAAGACUCACCAUCAAUGAAGAUCAAGACUUGGGUCCUGCCACAGAUAUCAGCCAAAAUACAGAAACACCAGUCAUCAUGACGCCUGAACACACAACAGCCUCCGAACCCAAGUCGCAAAAACAACAGGUAAAAAAAUGACAAGGUGGAUAUCACAGGUGUUUUAUUAGUACAUAUAGUUUAAAGUGAAAUUAAAAUAAGCUGUUUAUGAAAUUGCCAGAGGUGAAACUGAACCUGGUACUAUUUCAAAUAUUAAAUCUCUUCUGUUAAUUCUAACAUUAAUUUUGUUUUGUCCAGCAUUAUCCAAAAUGAAGUUUUAGUCAUUGUUUAUUGAGGAUUAAAAAAAGAUGAUUGUCUACACAUUGCAACAUUAGGAAAACAAUUAGGAAAAAAGAAAUUCAAAGACCUACAUGUGACAUGAAAUCAUUUAA